rnacentral:rRNA from 1 species
GACCAUUCGUUUUAAUUCGGAGAUUUUUCGGACCUUCGGGUACAAUUGAGGACAGGUGGUGCAGUGGUUGUCGUCAGCUCGUGUCGUGAGAUGUUGGGUUAAGUCCCGCAACGAGCGCAACCCUUGUGUUUUAGUUGCAAACAGGUCAAGCUGUGCACUCUAGACAGACUGCCGUGGACAACACGGAGGAAGGUGGGGAUGACGUCAAAUCAUCAUGCCCCUUAUGAUCUGGGCUACACACGUGCUACAAUGGCCGGUACAACGGGCAGCGAAGGAGCGAUCCGGAGCGAAUCCUAAAAAGCCGGUCCCAGUUCGGAUUGCAGGCUGAAACUCGCCUACAUGAAGUUGGAGUUGCUAGUAAUCGCGAAUCAGAAUGUCGCGGUGAAUGCGUUCCCGGGUCUU